GGAACAGCUGUCUUCCGUCAUGGAAUGCUGCACGGCGUCUACCAGAAACUGUGCUAGGAGAAUGGGCGUCGCGUACGCGGUGGUGAUGCUCGUGGUCCUGGCUGUGCAGACGGGGUUCAUGUGCAAUGCGGCGAUGGAGUGCGAGGCGAAUAGACGCCAGUACGUUUGGAUGUCCUGGGGCUUCAGCUGUUUCCUGAGCGCGGCACACGUAGGGUUCAUUGUCACCUGGAUCGUCGCUGC
rnacentral:lncRNA from 1 species